rnacentral:rRNA from 1 species
CUCAGAUUGAACGCUGUUCGCAUGCUUAACACAUGCAAGUCGAACGGCAGCACGGUCUAGCUUGCUAGAUGGGUGGCGAGUGGCGAACGGGUGAGUACGCGUAGGAAUAUGCCUUGAAGUGGGGGACAACUUGGGGAAACUCAAGCUAAUACCGCAUAGAUCUCUGAGGAGAGAAGCUGGGGACCCUCGGUCCUGGCGCUUUAAGAUUGGCCUGCGUCCGAUUAGCUAGUUGGUGGGGUAAGGGCCUACCAAGGCGACGAUCGGUAGCUGGUCUGAGAGGAUGACCAGCCACACUGGAACUGAGACACGGUCCAGACUCCUACGGGAGGCAGCAGUGGGGAAUAUUGGACAAUGGGGGCAACCCUGAUCCAGCAAUGCCGCGUGUGUGAAGAAGGCCUGAGGGUUGUAAAGCACUUUCAGUGGGGAGGAGGGUUGAUAGUUUAAGAGCUGAUUUGACUGGUACGUUACCCACAAGAAGUAAGCACCGGCUACACUCCGUGCCCAGCAGCCGCGGUUAAUACGGAGGGUGCGAGCGUUAAUCGGAAUUACUGGGCGUAAAGGGUGCGUAGGUGGUUUGAUAAGUUAUCUGUGAAAGCCCUGGGCUCCAAACCUGGGAACUGCCAGAUAAUACUGUUGGACUCGCAGUUUAGGUAGAGGGUAGUGGAAUUUCCGGUGUAGCGGUGAAAUGCGUAGAGAUCGGAAGGAACACCAGUGGCGAAGGCGGCUACCUGACCUAAUACUGACACUGAGGCACGAAAGCGUGGGGAGCAAACAGGAUUAGAUACCCUGGUAGUCCACGCUGUAAACGAUGCGAACUAGCUGUUGGUCUAAUUUGGCAAGUAGUGGCGCUGCUAACGCGAUAAGUUGACCGCCUGGGGAGUACGGUCGCAAGACUGAAACUCAAAGGAAUUGACGGGGGCCCGCACAAGCGGUGGAGUAUGUGGUUUAAUUCGAUGCAACGCGAAGAACCUACCUGGCCUGACAUGUCGAGAACUUCCAGAGAUGGAUUGGUGCCUUCGGGAACACUGAUACAGGUGCUGCAUGGCUGUCGUCAGCUCGUGUCGUGAGAUGUUGGGUUAAGUCCCGUAACGAGCGCAACCCUUAUCCUUAGUUACCAGCGCGUGAGAGCGGGGACUCUAGGGAGACUGCCGGUGACAAACCGGAGGAAGGCGGGGACGACGUCAAGUCAUCAUGGCCCUUACGGGUAGGGCUACACACGUGCUACAAUGGCCGGUACAGAGGGAAGCGAAGGGGCGACCUGGAGCCAAUCUUUAAAAGCCGGUCGUAGUCCGGAUUGGAGUCUGCAACUCGACAUCCAUGAAGUCGGAAUCGCUARUAAUCGCGAAUCAGCAUGUCGCGGUGAAUACGUUCCCGGGCCUUGUACACACCGCCCGUCACACCAUGGGAUUGGGUUGCACCACAAGUAAAUAGUCUAACCUUCCGGGCGGGACGUUUUACCACGGUG